UACAGAGGCCCCGAGCGUUACGCGGUGUCAUUGGGCGUAAAGGGUGCGUAGGCGGCGCGGUAAGUCGGGUGUGAAAUCUCGGAGCUUAACUCCGAAACUGCAUUCGAUACUGCCGUGCUUGAGGACUGGAGAGGAGACUGGAAUUUACGGUGUAGCGGUGAAAUGCGUAGAUAUCGUAAGGAAGACCAGUGGCGAAGGCGGGUCUCUGGACAGUUCCUGACGCUGAGGCACGAAGGUCAGGGGAGCAAACGGG
rnacentral:rRNA from 1 species